UAACAUAGAAAGUAGUAGGAAUUGCUCUUAGUACAUCAAGACUCCCUUCCACCCCCCCAACCAGCUCGGGAUUGAAUGAUCUACCUAAAGGAUCUUCAGGGCUGUGUUCGAAAUAUGGAGUCUGGAGAGCGGUUAUCGUCAUCAUCAGCUUCCUCUACUGCAGCUACUUCGUCUCCAGCAUCUUCUACGCCUUCUGUAGCUUCAGCAGUUUCAAAGGGUGGCCUCCCCAGUGGAGCUGCAUCACAGAGUUCUGCCAUCAACGCAUGUGGUCUUAAUAUAGAAAUGAUCUUGUGACUCCUUAAAUAAACUUUGAUGAAGAGCAGAUCUGGUGCCUAAA
rnacentral:lncRNA from 1 species